ACUAUUCCAAGCACCUCAUAGAAGUGGAAUCAUAACAGCAUUAUUAUUCCUUUUGUAACUGGCUUAUGUCACUCAGCACGAUGCCCCCAAGGGUCACCCAUGUUGUAGCUGGGUCAGACUCUCCUUCCUUUUUCCAACUGAGUAUUUCAUUGUUUAUGCAACACGGCCUGUCGGUGGACGCUUGGAUUGCUGCUACCCUGUGGCCGUCGUGAGUGACGCUGCUUUGAACGUGGGUGUGCAAAUACCUGUUUGAGACCCUGCUUUCCAUUCUGAGGGUGACACGUGGCUCCAUCCCUCAGGCCUCAGUCUUCCCUCCUGGAAGUGGAGGGGACACACGCUCAGGAGGUUGCCAGGAAAGGCUUACGAGAGACGUGCGUGCAAAGAGCAGUAACGCUCCUCUUGGUGAGUGCAAGCCACAAGCCCGGCUCUCAUCCGGCACCAUAUUUGCGUUUUCUCAUGUAAUGCUUCCAACUUUACACCAGGAGAUGGAACCCAGAGAGGGAGAGUAACUUGCUCAAUGUCACACAGCCAAGAAGGUGCAGAGCUGGGGUCCCAGCCCGGGUGUCUGAAUCCAGAAGCUGACUCUUACCGCUGCCCCGAAUCCACAGGAAGGGGGGAAGCCGUAAAUCGCGGAGCACAGCCAGGCAGGCACCCGGUGGGUGACCCAGAAACCGCGGGGCUUUUCAUGACAUUCCUCUUUUCCAACGUCCUGAGAUUCCAUGAUUUGAGGAUUCUGGCAAUCUGACGGUGUUAGGUUCUUUAUCACUUGCUCUGUUUACAGGACUGCCCGCGUCCCCAACCGCCUCCAGCAAGGGGCUUCAUGGAUGCCUGACAUAUAUUCUUCGGAUGAGCAUCGCUUUUUACAAAUGCCAGUAUCCUGUGAGGAUCCCCUGGUUGCUUCCGGGGAAGGAUAUAGGGGAUGGGAAUACGGAGACAUCUCACCUUA